GUUUAUUGUAUAGGAUAACGUCUCAUAUACUCCUGACAUGUUUCGAUAAGCCUGUUGUAUUAUUACGUAAGACACGUUGAAUAGGCCUGUGACUACACAAGUUAACCUAAAGAUGUAUGCAGUGAUUACCUAAUGAGCCCUCUCUAUAAAUUACAAGCGAACCAUACAUCAGCAUGUUCUCUCUUGUUCAAAAAAGAUGUGUGACUAUCUCAUACCAUGACACUGUAUAUUUCUGUAC